UACGUAGGAGGCGAGCGUUGUCCGGAAUUACUGGGCGUAAAGCGCGCGUAGGCGGGACGUUGCGUCGGCGGUGAAAGCCCCUGGCUCACCUGGGGGAGGGCCGCCGAGACGAGCGUUCUUGGAGGGCGGUAGGGGCCGGUGGAACGCCCGGAGUAGCGGUGAAAUGCGUUGAGAUCGGGCAGAACACCAGUGGCGAAGGCGGCCGGCUGGGCCGACCCUGACGCUGAGGCGCGAAAGCCGGGGGAGCGAACGGA
rnacentral:rRNA from 1 species